GGGGAACGAGCUUUGUUUAUAGCACAAGUGAAACUCCACUUUAUUGAACGAUGGGGUCUCAAAUGGGCUGCCUCUUUGCCACUCUUUUGGUAGUAUCAGUCUCUCUUAGCUACUUGCCGAUAGAAGCCUCCGCAAACAAAUACUACUACACAUCUCCUCCCCCUCCCAAGUACAAGUCUCCACCACCACCCCCGCCACCGGUUCACAAUUCUCCACCACCACCCCCGGUUUACCUGCCCCCGCCACCUCCUCCACCAGUCUACGUGCCUGCUCCGGCACCAACUCCAAUUUUCCCUUCUCCGCCACCUCCUGUCCCCAAGUCCCCACCACCACCUCACCCUUACGUCUAUGCAUCUCCCCCUCCUCCUUACUACUACUAGAAAGCGGCCAUGAAUAGCUCAUGCUUUUAUGGUAAUCUCAUUUAUUUUUAAAACUGUACAUGUAAAGACUAGUAGUUCAGAAUUACAUUAAGCAUUUCAAUUUUAAGCACCGUGUUCUGUUUAAUUGCGUUCCUAUUGAUUAAGUGACAAAUAAAAGAGAUUGAUUAAUUUGUUCUUGUAGGAGAGGCGAAUGGUAUCCGAAUAAAGAAAGCAAGGGUUUGAUGGAAGGCUUACUUGGAGCAAGAUAGCGAUCAAUCGAGUUGCUGCGUUUUAUUCUCUUUUCUCUUUGUUUUUUAAGAAAAAUAAACUGCCACACGUAGAAACAGAAAAUUAAGUUCUUGUCAUUUUCAUGCAUGUGGAUUGUUGCUUUGUGUGUCAAUCAAAUCUCCGUUGUGUCAUUUGUAAUUUUCAACCUUUAUGCAUGCAAAUGCGAGACCUCUUACGUAUAAUAAAAUUAAUAUACUUCCCAAGAUGGUCUUAUCUUGCGUUGACUUUUUACGUUCCUUUGGUGAUGAUUUUAACGUUUGAAAUUGAUGAGUAUUGUUUUUGUAAACUCUGACAUGGAUUUUUCGUGCAACUAAAGAGCGCAUUAAUGAGAGACUUAUCCAUGAGGGUCCAUGCAUAUCAGUGUCUAAUUAACCAAUAAUUAAUAUAACUUAAAAAAUAUAGAGUUAACAAUUUUUAUGGGUCAGGCUCAAUUGCAGAUGUUCGUACAAAAUUUCUUGCUAAUGUAUACUUGAGUAUGAUAAUAAGUUUUAAUCAUUAUUAAUAAUUCACUUGACAAUAUUAAACAAAUUUUCAUAUCAAUUAAGUUACAAAAUUUCUGUGACAAAUUUCCACGUACUGGAACCAUGCAAAAGGACUUUAUUCAAACAAAGCUGCAUAGCCGUUGGCAAUUAAAAUUAUUUAUCAAUUAAGUUAAGUAGUAAGAAUUGGAUUGUGGAUUCCAUUAAUUAUUUCAAGGAAAAUUUUAUAGAUAAUGCCGUAAUGAAAUUUACGGCAUCAAUACCAUGAUAAAUAUAAAUAUUGUAAAUUACAAAGAGAAUUAGUAAAGGUAAAGUAAAACCAGUAAAUUCAUAAAAGAUUAUUAAUUAUUUAAAAAAUUAACAUUGUUUCUACAUAAUUUUAGUGAAAAAUAUUUUAUUCAUUUACAAAAACAUUUCUUUAAUUAAACAAAAAAAAUUCAUUAAUUAAGCAAAAAAAUUAUACUGAAAAAAAAAAGUGGAAUAAGUUUAAUUGAAUUGGUUAUCAUAAAUUCUAUAUUUAGUCUAGGACAUUUGUAUACAUUUUUUUUCCCAUUUUCGAUAAUGAUAUCUAUUUGUUACACAUGUUAAUUAAGUGCAAUUAUUUAUCUUGAUGUGGACCAAGUAAAAAAAAAAAAAAAAAGAGAUAUCAAUAAAAUUAGAUCUAGUUUUGAAUAUUAUGUAUACUUUAUGUAGUUUCAAACUUUUUACUUGUAUUUGGAGACCAUUUAAGGUUGUUGUUGAAGAAGUGUAGAAAGAUGUAAAAUAACUUCAUCUUACAACAACUAUGAAAGAUAUUAAAAUAAUAUUUUUUUCAAAAUCCGAUUUUGAGAAAAAAUUUCAUCCUUAAUUAAACAUCACAUGUAUUAUAGAAAUGAAAAACUACCAUUGUUAUAUUUAAAUUAAAAAAUAAUAAAUAUAUAAGGUAAUAAACAUUAUAACGAGUUUUUAUUUUAAAAUUGUAAACUUUUGUUUCUGACAAUAACUCUUAUAUUAAUUAAUUUAUUUUGCAUUUUAUUCAUAAGUUUUAUGCAUAAUCUACAAACUUUAUGUUUUAUUUUGCAUUUAAUGUUGAUUUGGUUUUUUUAUAUUAUACGUAUAAGUUUUCAUUUUAUUUACCAGUAAUACAUCAAUUUAUCAGUUUUAUUGUAAUUUACUUAUUUUACCUUCCUUUUACAAUUCUUAUGUUUCAUUUUCAAAAUUUAUGUUUUAUUUUACAGUUGUUGAUGAUUUACUAGUUUUAUGUUAUGUUUGCAAGUUUUUGUUUUGUUUACUAGUAAUAGAUUAAUGGGUAAUUUUUAAUUGAGUCCUCAUUAGUUCUAGAAAAAAAAUUCAGAGACCAGAAGUUUACUAAAUGAAUCAAUUAAAUUCUUUCAAGUACAAACUAAUGUCAUUCAAGUCCUUAACUUAAUUGCUCAGUUAAAAAUAUUAACAACAUUGAGGACAUUUUAGUAAAACCACAAUUGAGUCGUUUCUCAUUCUUUAUUUUUGACAGGUGGAAAUAGUUUAAAGUUAACUCAAUUAACCUGAUUAAGUUAAGGAUCAGUUCUUUCAAAAGAACAAAAAAAAGACCUACAGAAACUGCCAUAUUCUUCGUGUGAGAGGAGAGAUCGAGAGAACGUGGGAUGGUGCAAAAAAUGUUGUAUAAAUCUACUGUGAUUUUGACCAAAGCUUUGGUAGCAUUGAUUGAGUUCAAGUACUGGAGAGAACCUGAGUUUAAAGGUUAGUAACUCUAUUUUUUUAGUGAUUUCCGCAAGCAUUUUCUGAUAAAAAAAUUUUCCAUAUUGAGUGAUCGUUGUGAAAAAUUAAGUUUUUCAAGUCUAUUUUUGAAAAUGACAAACUAUGUUUAAUUAUUGGUGGAUUCUUUUUUUUGUUCAAUAUUGUAUUUUGUUAAUUUGUUGUUUUUAAUUUGCUCUUUAUGUAAUUGUUAGACCAAAUACACCAUUAUUAUACUUGUAUUCAUUUCAACAAUUUGGUAUCAUUAUAUUAAUAAGAUUGAAUUCAUUGUAUUUGCUUCUUUGUUCAUGUAAAAUUGAAUUCUAUGUAUUCUUAUGAGUGAUAAUUUUUCUAUCUAUUAGACUAAAUUCACUAUAUUCACUACUUUCUUUCUUUUUGCUGGGCUAUUUUUUCUUUUUAGUUUAUAUUUUUUAUAUGUAUUAGAUUGAAUUUGCUUUUGUAUGUUUUUUUCGCCAAAUUGCAUGUAUAUUUCAUUUAGGUUGAGUUUUUUUUGUUGUUUGCUAAAUAAAAGUAUAUUGGUUUAUCCUUUUUUGAGGCAAUACUUUUGUUUAAAAUUAAUACAGGUAGCCAUGUUACCUUUUUUUCGGUUAAAAUUAAUGGGGUGAUGUAUGCGAUAGGAUAUAGGGAACCAGAGGAAUAUAAGAUUAUUAGGCUGUUUCUUGAAAUUCAAGAUGUCAUGGUUAAGCAUGGACACAUUGAAAUGGAUUUGAUUGAAAUUUUUGUUGUAUUGCCAUGGACUACAAGUAGGCAGAGGAAGCUAAUUUCAAACGAUAGUGAAUUGUAUUGGGUUUUCGAGGAGUUUUUUUUAUCAAUAGUUGUCCUGUCAUUGAGUUUGAGGUGCACACUGGGUCAGGUGGUCAGUCAUUUCAUGAAAGUGUUGUAAUAGGACCUGAAAAUCCUGUCAAUAUUAAAAAUUAGCGUUGUAAUAGUGAUAAGUUUGAAAAUCCUGUGGCUAAAAAGGGUUUGCCUAGAAUAAUUGGUUCUUCUUUAUUUGCCUCAAAGUCCAACACUAUGAAAUCCACUAGGAAAAAGAAUUUAUCCACUUUAACCAGCACGUCUUCAAUCUUACCUUCAGGAUAAGCAUGAGAUCUAGCAGCACAUUGCAAUGUCACUGUGGCUGGUCUGACUUCUCCAACUCCCAAUUGCUUGAAUUCUAAUAAUGUCAUAAGAUUGAUGCUUGGUCCCAAAUAGGGAUGACAAUUGUACCCGCAAACCCGCCCAAACCCACCUGCCAAAACCCGCCCGUUGCGGGUAAUUUUACCCAUUGCGGGCGGGUUUAGUAUUAUAAAUUAAAACCCGCGCAUGGAUGUGGGUGGGUUUGGUAUUAACCUUAUAUCCGGUGGAUACCCGCAUGGAUAUCCACCAAACCCGCAAUAUUUUUUUUCAAAUAUUUUUAAUUUAAUUUAAAUAUAAAAAUGUAUAAAGAAAAUAAUGUCAUUAAUCAAAUUACCAAAUAGACAAAGGCUCAAAGUUGUGUAUGUGUGUAUGUGGCCCAUCUCUUAUUCUAAAGUCAUAACCUAAAGAAAACUAAAGGCAUUUCCCUUCGAAUUAGUAUUUGAAAAUAUUAAUCUUAAUUAUUAUUAUAGGCAUUGUGUUGGAUGGGUGCUUAUGGUGGUGAAUGAAAUGAAUAUCUUCUCUUGGAUCUUGUUUUAAAUGAUAAUAUGAAAUGUAAUUAUUAUUUUUAGAUACUAGUUUGUGUUUUUAAAAUGGAUUUGUGUAAUUUAUACUUAAAUUUGAGAAUUUGUAUUGAAUUGAUGUGGAAAUUUUAAUUUUUCAUUGACAUUGUUUAAAUAUAAAAUUGAGUAUGCUAUUUGGAAUUUGAGGUUAUUAUUAUAAAUUUAUAUAUUAAAUAUUUGUGAUUUUAAAUACGAAAACCCGCAAAAAAUCUGCCGGAUACUAUUGCGGGUUUGGUAAUUAUUAAAACCCGCUGCGGGUGGGUUUUUAAAAAAAAAUUAAAACCCGCGGCGGGUUGCGGGUGGGUUUGGUAAUUUAAAUUUUGUGCGGGUUUGGGUUUGAUAAUGGCAAAUCCGCUGCGGGCGGUGCCCAUUGCCAUCCCUAGUCCCAAAUCACAAAGUGUCUUGCCACUGUAUUUAGUUCCUAUGGAACAACGAAUUGUGAAACUUCCUGGAUCAUUCAACUUCUGAGGCAUUUUACUCUGAAGCAUAUGGCUGAAUUCUUGUGUUAGACCAACUAUUUCAAAUUCUCCGAGCCUCAUUUUCCUUGCCAAUAUACAUUUCCAAAACUUUACAUAAUUUGGCAUUUGUUCUAAUGCUUCCACAAAAGGAAUGUUGAUAUGCAGUUAUUUCAAUACUUCCAAGAAUUUACUGAACUGCUUGUCUUGCUUUCGCUUUUGAAAUCUUCGUGGGAAGGAUGGUGGAUGUGUAAAUUGUUGUACUGCAGCAGACUAUACAUAUUGCUUUUCUCUUGCUCUAUUAUGGUAUGUUAUUGUUGGUGCUGCAGCUUCUUCCUCAACAAGCACUGAAUCAUGUUUUUUUUGCAGUUGCUAUAACUUAGCAACUCUCACCAGUGUGCUGGAAAAUGGGUUGUUGUGUCUCUUCUUUAAUUUGAGUUUCCCCUUGGGUUGAAUUAGGUUCCACUCUUCUUUUUAGUACUUUAACAAGUAUAUGAACAUCCUUUCCAGACCUUAAGUUAAUCCCCUUACAAUGCUCUUUUCCUUCUCUCUUUCGAUCCUCUGUAUUGUUUAGUAAAUUGUCCUAAGGUAUGUUGCUCAAUGUUGUAGCAAGCUGUCCAAUCUUAUUCUCCAAGUUUCUUAAAAAUACAGCUUGGCUUUAGACCACUACUUCAAUCUUCACAAUAUACUCCUUAAUCAGAGUUUCAAUGGAACUAAAUUGAUCAUUACUGGUGUUUCUUUACCCUUAAAAUUUCUGGUGAAAAUCAGGUGGCUGAGCAAGUCAGUUCUGUCCACUGGAUGCUGCAGCAUGCUGAUUCUGAUUGCUCCUUUUAAAAUUUGGGUGAUGUCUCCAUCCUAGGUUAUAGGUGUUUGAAAAUGGAUUGCUUUGAUUUUGUUUAUUAAAAUUGCCCACAUAAUUGACGGAAGCUGAAUUCCUAGGACAAUUAUCAUAUAGAUGUCCCUCUCCAUAAUAAACACAAGAGACUUCAGCAAUUUGGUUAACUGUUGUUGGAGCAGUGGCCGUUGCUUUUACCAUAUUUGUCAAUGAGGUUACUUGGGCUGAUAAUGUUGUCAGUGCAUCCACAUUGUGUACUCCUGCUGCUCCUCUCACUAUGGCUUGUCUAGUUGAUGGCCAUUGAUAGUUAUCCUUUCUAAAAUUUCAUAAGCCUCAUUAUAUGAGUUAGACAAUAAAGCCCCUAGUUAUUGAGUUCAACCCAUUGUAGAAAGUUUCCAAUUGUAUGCAAUAAGGAAUACCAUGAUGAGGGCAUCUCCUGAGUAACUCCUUGAAUCUUUCUCAUGCAUCAUACAAGCUUUCAUCUUCAAGUUGAUGGAAAGAUGUGAUCUCAUUCUUCAACUUUGCAUUCUUUGUUGGUGGGAAAUAUUUCAUCAAAAUUUUGUCAGCCAAAUAAUUUCAUGUGGUGAUGGAGUCUGGUUGUAAAGAACUCCACUGUACCAACUAAAAUUGAUUUCACAAAACACAAUAAGCACCAAUCCCUGGCAACGGCGCAAAAAACUUGUUGUCGAUUUUCUAAUGCUAUUAGUGUCAAUGUGAAAAUGUACACAACAAGUAAUAUAACGAUAAGUAUUCACUCCACAAGGAUUAUUAUUAUAGGAAUUGCUACAGUAAUUCUAUCAGUGCCAUUCUUAUUAUAAAUUAGAAUUUUAAACAAAUUAUUCAACUAAUGAACUAAGGCAGAUCUUAUUGGGCUAGUCGGCAAUGUGUUGCUUUAGGUCGUGUGGAAUAGUUGCGGGAGUGAUCUUGCAUGAUGUGUGGAGCUAUAACAGUGCUGAGCAUGGGCCAAUCUAUGGGCUCAUGGAACUAGCGAACCUAAUCUAGAAUUUCGAGGAAGAGUACUCUGGUUAGUACUCUAAAUUACCUUAUUAUAUUUUGCACAAACAGAGGCAUGUUAGUGAAAUAAUAUCUAAGCAACCCAAGAGGGGGUGAAUUGGGUUUCUAAAAAUUAUGCAAUUCUUAAACAAAACUUAAUGCAAAUCUUAAACGAAUUUAAAGUAAUAAUAAAUAAAUCAACCAAAGUAUAAAAAGAUAAGGGAAGAUAGAUUAAAAAACAGAGAGUUUUACGUGGUUCGGCCAACCUUGCCUACAUCCACGCCCCCAAGCACACCGAGCUUGGGCAUUCCACUAGUCAAGCCUUCAAGGCUUCAAGAACACUUACAAUUGACUUCUUAGGUGUCAAUCAACCUUUACAUCUAGAGAUUAUCCUCAAUCUCUUAACCCAAGUGUAUCCCAACAUUUACAAUCACUCAAAAAUAAAGAUUACAAAAUUUAUUUUUCUCCCACACAAUUUUUUAAGAUUACAAAUCAACGCUUAAUGUGUGAAUAAAUGAACAAGAAUAAUUUGAAACUCAAUGAAUGUUGUAUUCUCGAUUAUAAGCUCAAUGAUAACGUAUGUGAUAAGCUCUUGUUUGAAUUUGAUUGAGCUUAUUUAUAGUUAGAGUUGAAAAAUAGCCAUGUUGACUUUUUCCCGAAAUUGGAUCGCCGUUAACCGUUAUCGGUUAACCGUUUUGACUGGUCAAGUGACCGUUGAGCUGAAUUUCAAAUAAACGGUUGAUCUUUUGACAUUAUCGGUUUGCUGUUAAUUUCCAUAAACCUGUAAAACAAAUUUAUGCUAUCCGUUCUUGCUAAACGGUUGAAGGUCAGCAUGGAAUGACAUUCUAGAAAUUAUUGGUUGGCCGUUUGAAGUUCACGGUUCACCGUUUACUUCUAGAAUCACAGUUUUAACCAAAUUUCGCAGGGAAUGCUUUUUCGGUUAAAGUUAACGAUUAUCCAUAUUUCAUGAGCACAUUUAGAAAAUCAUACGACUUUUGAGAAAUUGUUUAGUAAUGAAAAACUCUAACAUUUUAAUCAAAUACAUUUAAAGUUUGUUAUCAUCAAAAUCAAUAUAAUGAACAUCUACAUGUUAACAGUUAGGCCUUGAUUAUUUUUUAAAUCUUAUAAGAUAUAGAGUGAUAAUAGUAACUCAAUUUUCAUAAAACGUGGAAAGAUCAGUCGCCAAAUUUAUAGAUGCCAUAGAAAAUCUAGAUUUUAGUAAGGAAUAUCAAGUUAUUUAUACAAUGAAAAUUGUUAAAACUCGAUUAAUUGCAAGGAAACACUUUUAGAGAGAUAUGGAGAGAAUAAACUUUGAAGAUAACAAUGAAAUACAUGACACUUAAGGAAGAAAAAUAUAAUAGUAUUAAUAGAAUCUAUUUUAACCGGUCUUAAGAUAAUUCAAGAUUGAUGCAAAAUAAAUAACAGGACUCUAAACCGUCCAUAAUAAGUCUAUUGAUUAAUAAUAACAAUAAUAGUGAUGUGAAAUUUUUUAUUCAGAAUGCUCAAUUUAGAUUAUAAUAUCUAUGUGAAAGCAUUGAUGGCAUGUACCUUGGUUAGGAAAAUAGAUUGGACACAUGGAUAUAUAUGUUGGAAGAACAAAUCUAGUUUAUAUCUCAAGAGAGAUAAUAAAUUAUAAAUGACGGUGCUAUAGUAUAUUCAGAUUUUAUAAAUCUUUAUAAAUUUAAUAAUCAUUUAGAUCUUCAUAAUAUUAUAAUAAAACUUUAAAAAACUUUAAAAAUAUAUGUAGAAGAGAUGGAAGAAGAAAUCAUCCAAUUAUUCAAAAUCAAUUAAACAAAAAUAGAAGGUAAAAUCCUUGAAUUAUAUAAAUUAUACAAUUUUCACAGAAAUUUUGCAUAUAUUGCGAAACGGUCCUUGUGGCACUAAUUAUGGGACUAGUGUAGCAUAAAUACUAAUAUUGCUUUUUAUUUUGUAAAUUAAUUGUUGCGUCAUAAUGUUUUUACAUACACAUUUUUGUUUUAAAAUAUGAAUUUUUUUUUUGUAUUUAGGGUUAAUUUUACAAUUUCAUACUUUGUUCAAUUAUAUGUACAGGUCCUUAACGUGUUGGUUGAUGUUGAAUAUUCAAAGAUCCACAAGCUAUCAACGACAACGAAUCAAAUUAAACUAAUUAGUUAAUACAUAAUGACUGGGUGUUUCCUAUGCUUGUUAAUGAUGUUAGGACGUUAUUUUAGGGAUUUUAGAAUUUUAAUUAUUAGGUCUUCUGAUAUUUUCUUUUUUAAUUAAAGUCAGUGUCUUAGUUUUUUAUUUAUUUAUGUUAUAAUUAUAAUUUACUUUCUCUUUUUAAGUUAACUUAGGAAAAUAUAUUUACUGUAUUAUAAAUAAAGAGAUCUUGUUAUUACUUUAUAACUUCAACUUCAGUUAUUCAAUUAAAAACCCCUCUUUUAAAGUUGUUUGAUUAGAGCAUCAUCUAGCCUUGCUAACGCAGUAUUAAAUAUCCCUUUUGAGUUUAAUCACACUUCGAUUAGAGCGUAACUUAAUCGCAUUGACUUGGUCCAGUACUUGAACGAUAUCUAGUGUUUUGCUUCCGCUAUGCCCAAGGAGAAAAUUAAUUUCACCGUGAGAUAAGAGCAUUAAAAGGAAUUCAUAAGAAAUUGGGAAAAUAUCCACCGUCCACUUGAUUUUGUCCACUUUUUUAAAAUACACAAAUCUUAAUUUUUUUGCUGCGCUACACCUAAACUUAUAUUUUUUUUUCACAUUUCCACCUCCGUUUGCAAAUUGUCAAAACGUUGCUGACGUCAUAAGGAUAAAAUAAUAAUUUCACUUGGGCUUCAAAAAACAAAGUCGUUUAAGAUCUGUAAUUUUAACCUUUUCGUUUGAUUCUGGAGUAAGGUUGGCCCUACAAACCGGGCAUGUUCACGUGAGAGGCUAAGUAGACAUCGAUGCAAUGAGGAUGGAACACGUGAUCACAUUUGGAAGUAAACGCAACGUUUCGUCAUCCUCAAACUCGCUUAAACACACGACACAUUCCAGAGCACCUUUCCCAAUUUUCAGAUCCUUCACCGCAGAGUAGACGAAGAUAGGGAAAGACUCGAUGACGGAAGGAUCGAGGCCGCGGUUUCUGGAGACAAUUUAAAGGCAAUUUAACGUUGAGAGAGAUGUCAACGUUAACGUACUGUGUUCGCUGAAGUAGGGAGAGCUUUGCGAGUUACGGACGUCUUGAGAGAUGCAGGUGCGGCAAACUGAAUGAGCGUUUGCUGCUGUGCUGAAGGCACUAGCAAUGGAAGCCGGCAGUUCGGGGACGCGACACAUGCGUUCACAAGUGGGGUUCGUUAAAGUUGGUGGUGAGGGUAUGGGAUUGGGCGAUGGUUGGAAUUCGAACGGAAGGAACCUGUUGACAGCAGUUAAAUCGCCGUUAAAUUUUUUGAUUUCACCGUCUAGUUCGCGACCCACCUCGAUAUCUCCGCUUUAGUUUGUGGGUGGUGGACAAUCUUGCCGUUUGUUUAUUUGCGCUAACUGUUCAUCUUGCCGUUGUUUUCUUUCUCAUUUUAAAAUUUCAUUUUCUGUUGUUAUUGGGACAAAAAUGUAGGAGGAUUUGGAGAAUAUAUGCAUAAUUCAGGGAGGGACAGUGUCGUAGUUACAGAACAAAUUCGAGGCCAAUUAAUGCCAGAGGAAUUGGAUGUGCCGCGCACUGCGAAUCAAUGCCGGAGGAAAUGGAUUCAUUGCUUGAUGAGUACNNNNNNNNNNNNNNNNNNNNNNNNNNNNNNNNNNNNNNNNNNNNNNNNNNNNNNNNNNNNNNNNNNNNNNNNNNNNNNNNNNNNNNNNNNNNNNNNNNNNNNNNNNNNNNNNNNNNNNNNNNNNNNNNNNNNNNNNNNNNNNNNNNNNNNNNNNNNNNNNNNNNNNNNNNNNNNNNNNNNNNNNNNNNNNNNNNNNNNNNNNNNNNNNNNNNNNNNNNNNNNNNNNNNNNNNNNNNNNNNNNNNNNNNNNNNNNNNNNNNNNNNNNNNNNNNNNNNNNNNNNNNNNNNNNNNNNNNNNNNNNNNNNNNNNNNNNNNNNNNNNNNNNNNNNNNNNNNNNNNNNNNNNNNNNNNNNNNNNNNNNNNNNNNNNNNNNNNNNNNNNNNNNNNNNNNNNNNNNNNNNNNNNNNNNNNNNNNNNNNNNNNNNNNNNNNNNNNNNNNNNNNNNNNNNNNNNNNNNNNNNNNNNNNNNNNNNNNNNNNNNNNNNNNNNNNNNNNNNNNNNNNNNNNNNNNNNNNNNNNNNNNNNNNNNNNNNNNNNNNNNNNNNNNNNNNNNNNNNNNNNNNNNNNNNNNNNNNNNNNNNNNNNNNNNNNNNNNNNNNNNNNNNNNNNNNNNNNNNNNNNNNNNNNNNNNNNNNNNNNNNNNNNNNNNNNNNNNNNNNNNNNNNNNNNNNNNNNNNNNNNNNNNNNNNNNNNNNNNNNNNNNNNNNNNNNNNNNNNNNNNNNNNNNNNNNNNNNNNNNNNNNNNNNNNNNNNNNNNNNNNNNNNNNNNNNNNNNNNNNNNNNNNNNNNNNNNNNNNNNNNNNNNNNNNNNNNNNNNNNNNNNNNNNNNNNNNNNNNNNNNNNNNNNNNNNNNNNNNNNNNNNNNNNNNNNNNNNNNNNNNNNNNNNNNNNNNNNNNNNNNNNNNNNNNNNNNNNNNNNNNNNNNNNNNNNNNNNNNNNNNNNNNNNNNNNNNNNNNNNNNNNNNNNNNNNNNNNNNNNNNNNNNNNNNNNNNNNNNNNNNNNNNNNNNNNNNNNNNNNNNNNNNNNNNNNNNNNNNNNNNNNNNNNNNNNNNNNNNNNNNNNNNNNNNNNNNNNNNNNAUUUUUAUGGGUCAGGCUCAAUUGCAGAUGUUCGUACAAAAUUUCUUGCUAAUGUAUACUUGAGUAUGAUAAUAAGUUUUAAUCAUUAUUAAUAAUUCACUUGAUAAUAUUAAACAAAUUUUCAUAUCAAUUAAGUUACAAAAUUUCUGUGACAAAUUUCCACGUACUGGAACCAUGCAAAAGGACUUUAUUCAAACAAAGCUGCAUAGCCGUUGGCAAUUAAAAUUAUUUAUCAAUUAAGUUAAGUAGUAAGAAUUGGAUUGUGGAUUCCAUUAAUUAUUUCAAGGAAAAUUUUAUAGAUAAUGCCGUAAUGAAAUUUACGGCAUCAAUACCAUGAUAAAUAUAAAUAUUGUAAAUUACAAAGAGAAUUAGUAAAGGUAAAGUAAAACCAGUAAAUUCAUAAAAGAUUAUUAAUUAUUUAAAAAAUUAACAUUGUUUCUACAUAAUUUUAGUGAAAAAUAUUUUAUUCAUUUACAAAAACAUUUCUUUAAUUAAACAAAAAAAAUUCAUUAAUUAAGCAAAAAAAUUAUACUGAAAAAAAAAAGUGGAAUAAGUUUAAUUGAAUUGGUUUAUCAAAAUUCUAUAUUUAGUCUAGGACAUUUGUAUACAUUUUUUUUCCCAUUUUCGAUAAUGAUAUCUAUUUGUUACACAUGUUAAUUAAGUGCAAUUAUUUAUCUUGAUGUGGACCAAGUAAAAAAAAAAAAAAAAAAGAGAUAUCAAUAAAAUUAGAUCUAGUUUUGAAUAUUAUGUAUACUUUAUGUAGUUUCAAACUUUUUACUUGUAUUUGGAGACCAUUUAAGGUUGUUGUUGAAGAAGUGUAGAAAGAUGUAAAAUAACUUCAUCUUACAACAACUAUGAAAGAUAUUAAUAAUAUUUUUUUCAAAAUCCGAUUUUGAGAAAAAAAUUUCAUCCUUAAUUAAACAUCACAUGUAUUAUAGAAAUGAAAAACUACCAUUGUUAUAUUUAAAUUAAAAAAUAAUAAAUAUAUAAGGUAAUAAACAUUAUAACGAGUUUUUAUUUUAAAAUUGUAAACUUUUGUUUCUGACAAUAACUCUUAUAUUAAUUAAUUUAUUUUGCAUUUUAUUCAUAAGUUUUAUGCAUAAUCUACAAACUUUAUGUUUUAUUUUGCAUUUAAUGUUGAUUUGGUUUUUUUAUAUUAUACGUAUAAGUUUUCAUUUUAUUUACCAGUAAUACAUCAAUUUAUCAGUUUUAUUGUAAUUUACUUAUUUUACCUUCCUUUUACAAUUCUUAUGUUUCAUUUUCAAAAUUUAUGUUUUAUUUUACAGUUGUUGAUGAUUUACUAGUUUUAUGUUAUGUUUGCAAGUUUUUGUUUUGUUUACUAGUAAUAGAUUAAUGGGUAAUUUUUAAUUGAGUCCUCAUUAGUUCUAGAAAAAAAAUUCAGAGACCAGAAAGUUUACUAAAUGAAUCAAUUAAAUUCUUUCAAGUACAAACUAAUGUCAUUCAAGUCCUUAACUUAAUUGCUCAGUUAAAAUAUUAACAACAUUGAGGACAUUUUAGUAAAACCACAAUUGAGUCGUUUCAUUCUUUAUUUUUGACAGGUGGAAAUAGUUUAAAGUUAACUCAAUUAACCUGAUUAAGUUAAGGAUCAGUUCUUUCAAAAGAACAAAAAAAAGACCUACAGAAACUGCCAUAUUCUUCGUGUGAGAGGAGAGAUCGAGAGAACGUGGGAUGGUGCAAAAAAUGUUGUAUAAAUCUACUGUGAUUUUGACCAAAGCUUUGGUAGCAUUGAUUGAGUUCAAGUACUGGAGAGAACCUGAGUUUAAAGGUUAGUAACUCUAUUUUUUUAGUGAUUUCCGCAAGCAUUUUCUGAUAAAAAAUUUUCCAUAUUGAGUGAUCGUUGUGAAAAAUUUAAGUUUUUCAAGUCUAUUUUUGAAAAUGACAAACUAUGUUUAAUUAUUGGUGGAUUCUUUUUUUUGUUCAAUAUUGUAUUUUGUUAAUUUGUUGUUUUUAAUUUGCUCUUUAUGUAAUUGUUAGACCAAAUACACCAUUAUUAUACUUGUAUUCAUUUCAACAAUUUUGGUAUCAUUAUAUUAAUAAGAUUGAAUUCAUUGUAUUUGCUUCUUUGUUCAUGUAAAAUUGAAUUCUAUGUAUUCUUAUGAGUGAUAAUUUUUCUAUCUAUUAGACUAAAUUCACUAUAUUCACUACUUUCUUUCCUUUUUGCUGGGCUAUUUUUUCUUUUUAGUUUAUAUUUUUUAUAUGUAUUAGAUUGAAUUUGCUUUUGUAUGUUUUUUUUCGCCAAAUUGCAUGUAUAUUUCAUUUAGUUGAGUUUUUUUUGUUGUUUGCUAAAUAAAAGUAUAUUGGUUUAAUCCUUUUUUGAGGCAAUACUUUUGUUUAAAAUUAAUACAGGUAGCCAUGUUACCUUUUUUUCGGUUAAAAAUUAAUGGGGUGAUGUAUGCGAUAGGAUAUAGGGAACCAGAGGAAUAUAAGAUUAUUAGGCUGUUCUUGAAAUUCAAGAUGUCAUGGUUAAGCAUGGACACAUUGAAAUGGGAUUUGAUUGAAAUUUUUGUUGUAUUGCCAAUGGACUACAAGUAGGCAGAGGAAGCUAAUUUCAAACGAUAGUGAAUUGUAUUGGGUUUUCGAGGAGUUUUUUUUAUCAAUAGUUGUCCUGUCAUUGAGUUUGAGGUGCACACUGGGUCAGGUGGUCAGUCAUUUCAUGAAAGUGUUGUAAUAGGACCUGAAAAUCCUGUCAAUAUUAAAAAUUAGCGUUGUAAUAGUGAUAAGUUUGAAAAUCCUGUGGCUAAAAAAGGGUUUGCCUAGAAUAAUUGGUUCUUCUUUAUUUGCCUCAAAGUCCAACACUAUGAAAUCCACUAGGAAAAAGAAUUUAUCCACUUUAACCAGCACGUCUUCAAUCUUACCUUCAGGAUAAGCAUGAGAUCUAGCAGCACAUUGCAAUGUCACUGUGGCUGGUCUGACUUCUCCAACUCCCAAUUGCUUGAAUUCUAAUAAUGUCAUAAGAUUGAUGCUUGGUCCCAAAUAGGGAUGACAAUUGUACCCGCAAACACCGCCCAAACCCACCUGCCAAAACCGCCCGUUGCGGGUAAUUUUAACCCAUUGCGGGCGGGUUUAGUAUUAUAAAUUAAAAACCCGCGCAUGGAUGUGGGUGGGUUUGGUAUUAACCUUAUAUCCGGUGGAUACCCGCAUGGAUAUCCACCAAACCCGCAAUAUUUUUUUUCAAAUAUUUUUUAAUUUAAUUUAAAUAUAAAAAUGUAUAAAGAAAAUAAUGUCAUUAAUCAAAUUACCAAAAUAGACAAAGGCUCAAAGUUGUGUAUGUGUGUAUGUGGCCCAUCUCUUAUUCUAAAGUCAUAACCUAAAGAAAACUAAAGGCAUUUCCCUUCGAAAUUAGUAUUUGAAAAUAUUAAUCUUAAUUAUUAUUAUAGGCAUUGUGUUGGAUGGGUGCUUAUGGUGGUGAAUGAAAUGAAUAUCUUCUCUUGGAUCUUGUUUUAAAUGAUAAUAUGAAAUGUAAUUAUUAUUUUAGAUACUAGUUUGUGUUUUUAAAAUGGAUUUGUGUAAUUUAUACUUAAAUUUGAGAAUUUGUAUUGAAUUGAUGUGGAAAUUUUAAUUUUCAUUUGACAUUGUUUAAAUAUAAAAUUGAGUAUGCUAUUUGGAAUUUGAGGUUAUUAUUAUAAAUUUAUAUAUUAAAAUAUUUGUGAUUUUAAAUACGAAAACCCGCAAAAAAUCUGCCGGAUACUAUUGCGGGUUUGGUAAUUAUUAAAACCCGCUGCGGGUGGGUUUUUAAAAAAAAAAUUAAAACCCGCGGCGGGUUGCGGGUGGGUUUGGUAAUUUAAAUUUUGUGCGGGUUUGGGUUUGAUAAUGGCAAAUCCGCUGCGGGCGGUGCCCAUUGCCAUCCCUAGUCCCAAAUCACAAAGUGUCUUGCCACUGUAUUUAGUUCCUAUGGAACAACGAAUUGUGAAACUUCCUGGAUCAUUCAACUUCUGAGGCAUUUUACUCUGAAGCAUAUGGCUGAAUUCUUGUGUUAGACCAACUAUUUCAAAUUCUCCGAGCCUCAUUUUCCUUGCCAAUAUACAUUUCCAAAACUUUACAUAAUUUGGCAUUUGUUUCUAAUGCUUCCACAAAAGGAAUGUUGAUAUGCAGUUAUUUCAAUACUUCCAAGAAUUUACUGAACUGCUUGUCUUGCUUUCGCUUUUGAAAUCUUCGUGGGAAGGAUGGUGGAUGUGUAAAUUGUUGUACUGCAGCAGACUAUACAUAUUGCUUUUCUCUUGCUCUAUUAUGGUAUGUUUAUUGUUGGUGCUGCAGCUUCUUCCUCAACAAGCACUGAAUCAUGUUUUUUUUUGCAGUUGCUAUAACUUAGCAACUCUCACCAGUGUGCUGGAAAAUGGGUUGUUGUGUCUCUUCUUUAAUUUGAGUUUCCCCUUGGGUUGAAUUAGGUUCCACUCUUCUUUUUAGUACUUUAACAAGUAUAUGAACAUCCCUUUCCAGACCUUAAGUUAAUCCCCUUACAAUGCUCUUUUCCUUCUCUCUUUCGAUCCUCUGUAUUGUUUAGUAAAUUGUCCUAAGGUAUGUUGCUCAAUGUUGUAGCAAGCUGUCCAAUCUUAUUCUCCAAGUUUCUUAAAAAUACAGCUUGGCUUUAGACCACUACUUCAAUCUUCACAAUAUACUCCUUAAUCAGAGUUUCAAUGGAACUAAAUUGAUCAUUACUGGUGUUUCUUUACCCUUAAAAUUUCUGGUGAAAAUCAGGUGGCUGAGCAAGUCAGUUCUGUCCACUGGAUGCUGCAGCAUGCUGAUUCUGAUUGCUCCUUUUUAAAAUUUGGGUGAUGUCUCCAUCCUAGGUUAUAGGUGUUUGAAAAAUGGAUUGCUUUGAUUUUGUUUAUUAAAAUUGCCCACAUAAUUGACGGAAGCUGAAUUCCUAGGACAAUUAUCAUAUAGAUGUCCCUCUCCAUAAUAAACACAAGAGACUUCAGCAAUUUGGUUAACUGUUGUUGGAGCAGUGGCCGUUGCUUUUACCAUAUUUGUCAAUGAGGUUACUUGGGCUGAUAAUGUUGUCAGUGCAUCCACAUUGUGUACUCCUGCUGCUCCUCUCACUAUGGCUUGUCUAGUUGAUGGCCAUUGAUAGUUAUCCUUUCUAAAAUUUCAUAAGCCUCAUUAUAUGAGUUAGACAAUAAAGCCCCUAGUUAUUGAGUUCAACCCAUUGUAGAAAGUUUCCAAUUGUAUGCAAUAAGGAAUACCAUGAUGAGGGCAUCUCCUGAGUAACUCCUUGAAUCUUUCUCAUGCAUCAUACAAGCUUUCAUCUUCAAGUUGAUGGAAAGAUGUGAUCUCAUUCUUCAACUUUGCAUUCUUUGUUGGUGGGAAAUAUUUCAUCAAAAUUUUGUCAGCCAAAUAAUUUCAUGUGGUGAUGGAGUCUGGUUGUAAAGAACUCCACUGUACCAACUAAAAUUGAUUUCACAAAACACAAUAAGCACCAAUCCCUGGCAACGGCGCAAAAAACUUGUUGUCGAUUUUCUAAUGCUAUUAGUGUCAAUGUGAAAAUGUACACAACAAGUAAUAUAACGAUAAGUAUUCACUCCACAAGGAUUAUUAUUAUAGGAAUUGCUACAGUAAUUCUAUCAGUGCCAUUCUUAUUAUAAAUUAGAAUUUAAACAAAUUAUUCAACUAAUGAACUAAGGCAGAUCUUAUUGGGCUAGUCGGCAAUGUGUUGCUUUAGGUCGUGUGGAAUAGUUGCGGGAGUGAUCUUGCAUGAUGUGUGGAGCUAUAACAGUGCUGAGCAUGGGCCAAUCUAUGGGCUCAUGGAACUAGCGAACCUAAUCUAGAAUUUCGAGGAAGAGUACUCUGGUUAGUACUCUAAAUUACCUUAUUAUAUUUUGCACAAACAGAGGCAUGUUAGUGAAAUAAUAUCUAAGCAACCCAAGAGGGGGGUGAAUUGGGUUUCUAAAAAUUAUGCAAUUCUUAAACAAAACUUAAUGCAAAUCUUAAACGAAUUUAAAGUAAUAAUAAAUAAAUCAACCAAAGUAUAAAAAGAUAAGGGAAGAUAGAUUAAAAAACAGAGAGUUUUACGUGGUUCGGCCAACCUUGCCUACAUCCACGCCCCCAAGCACACCGAGCUUGGGCAUUCCACUAGUCAAGCCUUCAAGGCUUCAAGAACACUUACAAUUGACUUCUUAGGUGUCAAUCAACCUUUACAUCUAGAGAUUAUCCUCAAUCUCUUAACCCAAGUGUAUCCCAACAUUUACAAUCACUCAAAAUAAAGAUUACAAAUUUAUUUUUCUCCCACACAAUUUUUUAAGAUUACAAAUCAACGCUUAAUGUGUGAAUAAAUGAACAAGAAUAAAUUUGAAACUCAAUGAAUGUUGUAUUCUCGAUUAUAAGCUCAAUGAUAACGUUGUGAUAAGCUCUUGUUUGAAUUUGAUUGAGCUUAUUUAUAGUUAGAGUUGAAAAAUAGCCAUUGUUGACUUUUUCCCGAAAUUGGAUCGCCGUUAACCGUUAUCGGUUAACCGUUUUGACUGGUCCAAGUGACCGUUGAGCUGAAUUUCAAAUAAACGGUUGAUCUUUUGACAUUAUCGGUUUGCUGUUAAUUUCCAUAAACCUGUAAAACAAAUUUAUGCUAUCCGUUCUUGCUAAACGGUUGAAGGUCAGCAUGGAAUGACAUUCUAGAAAUUAUUGGUUGGCCGUUUGAAGUUCACGGUUCACCGUUUACUUCUAGAAUCACAGUUUUAACCAAAUUUCGCAGGGAAUGCUUUUUCGGUUAAAGUUAACGAUUAUCCAUAUUUCAUGAGCACAUUUAGAAAAAUCAUACGACUUUUGAGAAAUUGUUUAGUAAUGAAAACUCUAACAUUUUAAUCAAAUACAUUUAAAGUUUGUUAUCAUCAAAAUCAAUAUAAUGAACAUCUACAUGUUAACAGUUAGGCCUUGAUUAUUUUUUAAAUCUUAUAAGAUAUAGAGUGAUAAUAGUAACUCAAUUUUCAUAAAACGUGGAAAGAUCAGUCGCCAAAUUUAUAGAUGCCAUAGAAAAUCUAGAUUUUAGUAAGGAAUAUCAAGUUAUUUAUACAAUGAAAAUUGUUAAAACUCGAUUAAUUGCAAGGAAACACUUUUAGAGAGAUAUGGAGAGAAUAAACUUUGAAGAUAACAAUGAAAUACAUGACACUUAAGGAAGAAAAUAUAAUAGUAUUAAUAGAAUCUAUUUUAACCGGUCUUAAGAUAAUUCAAGAUUGAUGCAAAAUAAAUAACAGGACUCUAAACCGUCCAUAAUAAGUCUAUUGAUUAAUAAUAACAAUAAUAGUGAUGUGAAAUUUUUUAUUCAGAAUGCUCAAUUUAGAUUAUAAUAUCUAUGUGAAAGCAUUGAUGGCAUGUACCUUGGUUAGGAAAAUAGAUUGGACACAUGGAUAUAUAUGUUGGAAGAACAAAUCUAGUUUAUAUCUCAAGAGAGAUAAUAAAUUAUAAAUGACGGUGCUAUAGUAUAUUCAGAUUUUAUAAAUCUUUAUAAAUUUAAUAAUCAUUUAGAUCUUCAUAAUAUUAUAAUAAAACUUUAAAAAACUUUAAAAAUAUAUGUAGAAGAGAUGGAAGAAGAAAUCAUCCAAUUAUUCAAAAUCAAUUAAACAAAAAUAGAAGGUAAAAUCCUUGAAUUAUAUAAAUUAUACAAUUUUCACAGAAAUUUUGCAUAUAUUGCGAAACGGUCCUUGUGGCACUAAUUAUGGGACUAGUGUAGCAUAAAUACUAAUAUUGCUUUUUAUUUUGUAAAUUAAUUGUUGCGUCAUAAUGUUUUUACAUACACAUUUUUUGUUUUAAAAUAUGAAUUUUUUUUUUUGUAUUUAGGGUUAAUUUUACAAUUUCAUACUUUGUUCAAUUAUAUGUACAGGUCCUUAACGUGUUGGUUGAUGUUGAAUAUUCAAAGAUCCACAAGCUAUCAACGACAACGAAUCAAAUUAAACUAAUUAGUUAAUACAUAAUGACUGGGUUGUUUCCUAUGCUUGUUAAUGAUGUAGGACGUUAUUUUAGGAUUUUAGAAUUUUAAUUAUUAGGUCUUCUGAUAUUUUCUUUUUUAAUUAAAGUCAGUGUCUUAGUUUUUUAUUUAUUUAUGUUAUAAUUAUAAUUUACUUUCUCUUUUUAAGUUAACUUAGGAAAAUAUAUUUACUGUAUUAUAAAUAAAGAGAUCUUGUUAUUACUUUAUAACUUCAACUUCAGUUAUUCAAUUAAAAACCCCUCUUUUAAAGUUGUUUGAUUAGAGCAUCAUCUAGCCUUGCUUAACGCAGUAUUAAAUAUCCCUUUGAGUUUAAUCACACUUCGAUUAGAGCGUAACUUAAUCGCAUUGACUUGGUCCAGUACUUGAACGAUAUCUAGUGUUUUGCUUCCGCUAUGCCCAAGGAGAAAAUUAAUUUCACCGUGAGAUAAGAGCAUUAAAAGGAAUUCAUAAGAAAUUGGGAAAAUAUCCACCGUCCACUUGAUUUUGUCCACUUUUUUAAAAAUACACAAAUCUUAAUUUUUUUUGCUGCGCUACACCUAAACUUAUAUUUUUUUUUCACAUUUCCACCUCCGUUUGCAAAUUGUCAAAACGUUGCUGACGUCAUAAGGAUAAAAUAAUAAUUUCACUUGGGCUUCAAAAACAAAGUCGUUUAAGAUCUGUAAUUUAACCUUUUCGUUUGAUUCUGGAGUAAGGUUGGCCCUACAAACCGGGCAUGUCACGUGAGAGGCUAAGUAGACAUCGAUGCAAUGAGGAUGGAACACGUGAUCACAUUUUGGAAGUAAACGCAACGUUUCGUCAUCCUCAAACUCGCUUAAACACACGACACAUUCCAGAGCACCUUUCCCAAUUUUCAGAUCCUUCACCGCAGAGUAGACGAAGAUAGGGAAAGACUCGAUGACGGAAGGAUCGAGGCCGCGGUUUCUGGAGACAAUUUAAAGGCAAUUUAACGUUGAGAGAGAUGUCAACGUUAACGUACUGUGUUCGCUGAAGUAGGGAGAGCUUUGCGAGUUACGGACGUCUUGAGAGAUGCAGGUGCGGCAAACUGAAUGAGCGUUUGCUGCUGUGCUGAAGGCACUAGCAAUGGAAGCCGGCAGUUCGGGGACGCGACACAUGCGUUCACAAGUGGGGUUCGUUAAAGUUGGUGGUGAGGGUAUGGGAUUGGGCGAUGGUUGGAAUUCGAACGGAAGGAACCUGUUGACAGCAGUUAAAUCGCCGUUAAAUUGUUUUGAUUUCACCGUCUAGUUCGCGACCCACCUCGAUAUCUCCGCUUUAGUUUGUGGGUGGUGGACAAUCUUGCCGUUUGUUUAUUUGCGCUAACUGUUCAUCUUGCCGUUUGUUUUCUUUCUCAUUUUAAAAUUUCAUUUUCUCUGUUGUUAUUGGGACAAAAAUGUAGGAGGAUUUGGAGAAUAUAUGCAUAAUUCAGGGAGGGACAGUGUCGUAGUUACAGAACAAAUUCGAGGCCAAUUAAUGCCAGAGGAAUUGGAUGUGCCGCGCACUGCGAAUCAAUGCCGGAGGAAAUGGGAUUCAUUGCUUGAUGAGUACAAAAAGAUAAUUGUGCGAUCAAGGACUUUUCCUAACUCCCAAACUCAAACUCAUACUGAUUUCUUUCCACCCAAUUUUGACCCUGAGCUCUUUAAAGCCAUUCAUGAUUUCGUUAUGUCUAAGGAUACCGAUCUGAUGAUACUGACCCAGAUUCAGAUACCGAUCCUGAAGCUGACUUCUCUGAAGCAAUUUCACAAACACAACUAGGUAACUUUUAACUUCUCUCUCUUGUCUUGGAUUGGGAGGACUUCUCAUCCACCUCGAUAACAAGAACAUACACACAUACUCUUUAUUUUUAUCUCCACCCACAAACGGCAACGGCUACAAUACUCAUAAAACUAAUAUUUUGGCGUUUAUUUAGGGUAAAUAUGUAAUUUUUUAUUUUCGGGAUUAAAAAAUAAUUUGGAUAAAAUUCCAUUAGUUUUAUUGACGGUUUGUAGACGGAGGUGGAAAUGUGAAAAAAAUUAUAAGUUUAGGUAGAGCACAGCUAAAAAAAUUAAGAUUUGUAUAUUUUUUAAAAAGUGAACAAAAUCAUGUGGACGGUGGAUAUUUUCCCUAAGAAAUUUAAAUUAAAGCUAUAUAUGUUAAAUAUAUCGCUAGCUACUUGUUUUUGGAGGAAUUAAAACAAUUAAUAAGCUGCGAAGUGAAAAUGAAUAAAUAAAUGAAAUGAGGUUGAAAAUAAGUCUCGCCGCCUGGAUCCAAGGCCAAAACAUUCAUGAUAAGUUAGGUAAUUAAGUACAUGUUUUCAAGCUCUUCAUGAAGAAUAACGUUAUUGAAAUAAAUCACAAAGACUCCCUACGCAAAUUAUUACAUUGAUUAAAAAAAAAAAGCCAUAUCUUUAACAGGAUCGUGACUCUCGGACUGUUAAUUACUUUAUUCCCUGCUUGGCCAACAGCUGGCCACUAAACAAAAUCAUAAAAAUUUUAAAUUUAGUCAAAUUGGUCCCACUUGAUGACAUCCUUUCCAAACAUAAAAUUGUUAACGUCAAGGUUAAAUAUGAGAAGUUUGGUAGAGAAGGUAAAAAGGAAGUCUAUAUAAGGAGGGGAACGAGCUUUGUUUAUAGCACAAGUGAAACUCCACUUUAUUGAACGAUGGGGUCUCAAAUGGGCUGCCUCUUUGCCACUCUUUUGGUAGUAUCAGUCUCUCUUAGCUACUUGCCGUUAGAAGCCUCCGCAAACAAAUACUACUACACAUCUCCUCCCCCUCCCAAGUACAAGUCUCCACCACCACCCCCGCCACCGGUUCACAAUUCUCCACCACCACCCCCGGUUUACCUGCCCCCGCCACCUCCUCCACCAGUCUACGUGCCUGCUCCGGCACCAACUCCAAUUUUCCCUUCUCCGCCACCUCCUGUCCCCAAGUCCCCACCACCACCUCACCCUUACGUCUAUGCAUCUCCCCCUCCUCCUUACUACUACUAGAAAGCGGCCAUGAAUAGCUCAUGCUUUUAUGGUAAUCUCAUUUAUUUUUAAAACUGUACAUGUAAAGACUAGUAGUUCAGAAUUACAUUAAGCAUUUCAAUUUUAAGCACCGUGUUCUGUUUAAUUGCGUUCCUAUUGAUUAAGUGACAAAUAAAAGAGAUUGAUUAAUUUGUUCUUGUAGGAGAGGCGAAUGGUAUCCGAAUAAAGAAAGCAAGGGUUUGAUGGAAGGCUUACUUGGAGCAAGAUAGCGAUCAAUCGAGUUGCUGCGUUUUAUUCUCUUUUAUCUUUGUUUUUUAAGAAAAAUAAACUGCCACACGUAGAAACAGAAAAUUAAGUUCUUGUCAUUUUCAUGCAUAUGGAUUGUUGCUGUGUGUGUCAAUCAAAUCUCCGUUGUGUCAUUUGUAAUUUUCAACCUUUAUGCAUGCAAAUGCGAGACCUCUUACGUAUAAUAAAAUUAAUAUACUUCCCAAGAUGGUCUUAUCUUGCGUUGACUUUUUACGUUCCUUUGGUGAUGAUUUUGACGUUUGAAAUUGAUGAC
rnacentral:lncRNA from 1 species